rnacentral:rRNA from 1 species
UACGAAGGGGGCUAGCGUUGCUCGGAAUCACUGGGCGUAAAGGGUGCGUAGGCGGGUCUUUAAGUCAGGGGUGAAAUCCUGGAGCUCAACUCCAGAACUGCCUUUGAUACUGAGGAUCUUGAGUUCGGGAGAGGUGAGUGGAACUGCGAGUGUAGAGGUGAAAUUCGUAGAUAUUCGGAAGAACACCAGUGGCGAAGGCGGCUCACUGGACUGGUAUUGACGCUGAGGUGCGAAAGCGUGGGGAGCAAACAGGGAU